AUCUUAAUGGUGUUGGGCCGAGUCGCGAUAUAUACAUCGUGUCUCGUGUACCAGUGCUCAUUAACUACCGAGCUUUAGUGGCGAGUUGACGAAAUAAAACUUUUUCAUAAUUCGAGAAUCAUACGAAUAAUCAUGUCUGACGAUUCGACUGCUGCUGGUUCGAGGCCGGAUUGCGAAGAUCAGGAGAAAUCUUCGUGCGGUGCUUCGAGUGUAACGACCACUUUAACUGUUAAAGUCGAAAAAAUGUCAUUGGCCUCGGAUGACGAGCAAAACAAGGACUACGUCGAGGCGCAGUCGGUGCGAAGUGAGCAUGCACAUAAUUUCAUAAUACCUUCUAUUGUAGUUACCGAAUAUUGUGAUGAUGAUGAUGUCGUUGUUGACUAAAACAAAAAACCCUUAAUCUUUGCUAUAAAUUCGUCGUAUACGUCGUAACUUACUAAAAAAUGUCUAAAUCCGUAUUAAAAGUCUGAGUAUAAAUAAUUAAUUAACACAAGUAUUUAAUGUAUCAUCCGUCAAUUUAUAAAUAUUAUUGUAAUGUUUAAUAAAGUUCCUCUUCAUCGUUAAAAA